rnacentral:lncRNA from 1 species
GAAAGAGGUGGUGACCAACCUGCAAAUACCACCCAACAAUGCAAUUAUGCAAGAAGAAGGGUCUGAAAGCCUGAAAGCUUGUUUGAUGAUAAACCCCAAAAAAGCUUUGGAAUACAAAGAGUGUUGGGGACAAGAAAUGAGAACGCAUCUCAAGAUGAAAUCUAAGGUCUCCAAAUUUGGUGCACUGAAAACUGUGAUUUUGACUGACUCACCUCUGACUUUUCUUUCUGCAGCAGCUUUGCCCCCAUCCACCCACCCACCCACAUGCCUACCUCCAUCGUCACACCCCACACACCCCCCCUCUAUACACCAUUUUCAUCACGCAAUCAUAGCUUCUUUUCCUUCCCUGAUAUCCCACAAUCAUCAGAUUCAUCACUCUACCUUGGACCACACACCCCUCCCAAGUAAUACAACUUUUUUUUCCCUUUUUACCCCUAUGAAUAGUCAAAGAAUUUAAUUGUAUGUCACAGACUCACAAUCAGCCAUACAGCUCCAAUGUUUCAGAGAGAAAGAAAAAAAAAAAAAAAAAAAGUACAUGGGUGGAGUGUAGCAUUGGGCCUCUUACAUAGACCAUGUGAUACUGAGUCAUAUUUACCUGACCAAAUGUAUAAAAUAAUUAACAAUCCAGAUUCACAUGGCAUAUAUAGAAAUGAAAAUGGCCCCAUUCAUAAUGUUCCUCUGAAAUUUCAUGAUACCAAUGGUGGGUCAAUAUCUGACCACUAAUUGGGGAUUUAAAACUAAUCUUCUGCCAUUAAUUUACAUCUCCAAUGAAUAAACAACUCUCAUUUUAUCAAAAAGUUUUAUUAUAUCAACUCGAAUAAUUAAAAUCCAUCAACUCUAAAUUAUUUUUUUUUAAAAGAAAAAUAAUUUGAGUGUAUGAAAUUAUUUUUUUAAAUUACAAAUUGAAUUGGUAAUUUACCAAUUCAUUUCCAUUAUAGUUAUGAAUAAAUCAUUUCGUAUACCACUAAAUAAACCCAUGAUCUAAGCCUUGAUUUAAAAAAAAAAAAUUCUAAAGUUGGUAGUGUAUACACAUUCAAAUAUAAUCUAUAUUUUUUUUUUACUUUGAUGCAAUUUAAGAAACAAUUUUUUUUUUCCAAAUAUCAAAACUAUUUUUAUUUUUCAUAAUCUAUAUUUUAAAUUAAUUAAGACUUUAAUUAUAAUUAUUUUUGAAAGUUGAUUCUUCUUUCUUUUUCGCAAAGCUCACAAGAGCAUAUAAUUUGAAAAAUAGAAAAAAUAAAAAAGAAGAAGAAAAACAAGGAAUGUUCUUAAUGAAUUUGUGUAGAAAAUUAUUUUAUAUUCAAUAAAAUUUUAAAAAUACUAAAAUAUUUAAACUUUGUUUCCAACUUCUAAAAAAAAUAAAAGAUGUGAUUACAACAUUGAAAAAUGCUUUCUCGAUUUCUAUUGAAAAAAUAGUAUGAAUUAAAUGGUGUCAAAUAUAUAUUUUUAUGUAUUCUUAUUUAAUCUAAGUCCAUAUUUUUUUGUUCAAUAUUAAGCUACAUUACCUUUUCAUUGUCCAAAAAUUAUUGCAAGCAAGAAUAGUAUUUACCUGUGCCUUUUCUUCUUCAUGAAUUCAAUGUGAACAGUAGAGAAGUCCUUUCUAAAGGAGCGGGGCAAGUUGAUUGAAACAAGAGAAUCGAGGUGGACAGCAACUACACGAAACACCACUGCAUAAGAAGCCAACAAACUAGUAUAUAAAGCCCACCAUACCCUCUUCAUUUGCAGUACCACCUCACCAUCCUCCAUUCAUAUUGCCCAUUUUCACCCACCUCUUUCUCUCUCUUUUUCUAUUUUUUCUCACCUACCCUCCUUCUCUUUCUCUCUGCCUCUCAGUUUCUCAGUCUUUCAAUGGCGCUCAAGCUCCAUGGAAUUCCCAUGUCCACAUGCACCACUCGUGUCCUCACCUGUCUCCAUGAGAAAGGCUUGGAUUUUGAGCUUGUCCCUGUUAAUCUCUUUGCAGGUGAACAUAAGCAGCCUCCUUUUCUUGCCAAGAAUGUGAGUCUCACUUCCCUCUUUCUUUCUAAUCAUCCCUCUUUAUUCUCUUUGAAGAUUUUACUUUUCUUUGGGGUUGUAUAAAUUAUGAUUUUCCUUGGUUUGGGUACAUUGUUUUUAGUGUGCAGUCUUGUCGAUUUGAUUUUGGUCUUGGUUUUGUUAUACAUAUAUGCAGCCCUUUGGACAGAUUCCAGUUCUGGAAGAUGGCGAUCUCACUCUUUUUGGUAAGUCCUCGGUUUUAAUCACUUUCCUCAUAAAAGCUUGAAAUUUGUUGUACUGUACUACCAUCAGGAUUGACAGUUCCUGAGAUUUAUUAGCUGCUUGCUUUUGAACAAAAUUUUGCUUUAAAAAAUUAAAGGAGUUUUUCUUACAAAAUCAUGCUAUUUAGUACAACAUACGAGCUGGGUCUAUGAUACUAUUAAGUAUACUAUUGCCCCAGCCUUACUGAAAAUCCCUAGUCGAUGAAGUUGGGUUACUGAAAUUAUGUAUAUGUACCAGAAUCUAGGGCAAUAACAGCAUAUUUGGCCGAGAAAUACAAGGAAACGGGGUGUGAUCUCUUGAGGCACAAUGACCUCAAAGAAGCUGCAUUGGUGAAGGUGUGGUUGGAGGUUGAAUCCCAACAAUAUCAUCCGGCAAUAUACCAGAUUGUGUACCAGUUCUUCGUGUUGCCUCUACAAGGCAAGACGGCCGAUCAGGCCAUUAUUGAUGUAAAUCUGGAGAAGUUGGGUAAGGUUCUGGAUGUGUAUGAGGCCAGGCUGGGCACCACAAAGUGCCUAGCAGGAGAUUUCUACAGCUUGGCUGAUCUUCACCACCUUUCUUACACUUACUAUUUCAUGAAGACGCCAUGGGCUUCCCUCAUAAACAGCCGUCCCAAUGUGAAGGCAUGGUGGGAGGACAUUUCCUCAAGGCCAGCUUUCAAGAAAGUGGCUGAAGGCAUGACUUUUGGUGAGAAGUGAUCGGUUUCUGAGCAGUGUGGCUCUAUGUUUUGGGGUAAUAUUAAUUGUAGUGGUUGCUGCCUCUUAAUUACGUGUAUUUAAGUGUGAGACCACGUAAUAAUUACUGAUUAUGUGUUAUGAUUUGCCCUAAAUUAAUCAGAAAUGUGGAAUUAUCUGGGGUUUCUCAUUGUGGUAAUUAAUCUGCUUGCAACCAGUUUUUGAAAGGGUUUGAUGCAUUUUUACUCCAUACUUUGCUUUAGCUAGGGUUAUGUUGGUGUCUCUAAGGCAUAAUGCUUCCAUUUUUGAGUCAUUGCAUACUCAGAUCAAAGUUUUCAAGACUUGUAGAAAAUGGGUUUUGGUAUUUUCAUGAAAGAGAAUGAAAGGGCAAAUUUCUUCACAAGGCAUGUAGUAAGGGUUUUCCCUUUCAAUCAGUCUUUUUCCUGAGAAACAAACAGAAUGUAUAUCAUGCCGUGUCAUCCACUGUGACAGUUUUCCUCUGAAGAGUUUUACUGCAGUACUUCCUAUUUAUUCCCAUUUUUACUUCCCAAACGAGGUAAACACGUACUGUACUGCAGCUCUGGUUAUUUUCAUCAUCCUUGCUUGUCCAAAGCAGCUUCACUCUUUGAACCUAUUUUUAUUGUUAUAUAUAUAUAUAUAUUAGGUCAAAUUAAUCUUCCAAUUUUCUAACUCUAAGCCCUUGCAAAGAGUUUUUGUAGUAUCAUAUGUAUCUACUAUCAGUCAAGCAGAAACUGGAUAAUGUUCUAUAUACGCUUCAAUAAUUAUGGAUCCAGCAAAGGAGAUCUUUUGUUAUGCUACGGGUCUCUACUAAAAUCUGAGGCUGGAACCCACUUCAAUUAUUCACUCAUUUUGUUCUCAUAGAACCUUCAGCCAUGUGACCCUCACCCUCCAACUAACUUUCAACCACAUCUACCACCUUUCUUUCCUUUUUAUUUUUAUUUUUUAGUUUUGACCUAAUUCCAUCUAACUCUCAAAAUGUAUUCUAAAUCAUGCAUCACAGUCUCAAAAUAUAUGUAGGCCCUUCUCUCUAGAUUCUUGAUUCUAUAGUCUUGUACAACCCAAAUUUCUUAGACUCUAGUCUGAAUAAGCUUGAUAGACAUGAUUGUGCUUAUUAUUUAAUAAUUUAAGUUUUUCUUAUAGUAAUUAAUAGUUUAAUAUGAUAUAAUAAAAUUUCUUAUCUUAAUUAAUUUGUAAAAUUAUCUAGAUGAGAUAAAUAGAUAGUCCUAAUUUUUAACUCCAAAAAUUGAUUUUUUUUCUCAAUUAUAAAUUUUCUUAAUCCAAUGCGAGAUUCAAAUAUCAAAAUAAUAGCUAGUUUCAUAAGACACUUGAUGUAUGUGGAAAACCAUCAACAAUCAUGGGUUUGCAAAACAAAGUAAUUACUAAAUCUAAAAGAAUAAGUACACAAUUUUUAUCAAAAUUUGAUACUAUCUUCUCCCAAGGGUCUUAUGUUGGCACAUAUUUACACUUGUUUUCAUGUUUGAGAUGCAACACCUUAUACCCUUUAGGAAACUCCUCAACUACUUGAUAACAUAUAAUCAACCAUUAUGAUUUGAUCUCAAAUAAGAGUUAAGCGAUUGAAAAUGUAUGUGUAGUGAGUUUGAAAUGAGAAUGAUAGAGAAAUUGAACUUUUUCAUUAGACUUUAAAUGAAGCCAUUAAGGAAGAGAUCCACUCCCAAGAUUAAUUCAAGAUGGGGAUAUAAAAAUGGUAUCUUACCAUAAUGACGUCAUCCAUCAAACUUUAUAUGAAGAAGAUAAAUCCAUUGGUUGAACUCUUUAUAGAGGAAUAAUUGACUCUUUAUCAUUAAACAAUAUAUGUUUGUUUUCAACUUGCAAAGAAUCUUAUUCUAGUGCUAUUAAAAAAAUUCUUAAAUAUUUAAAAAGAAUAAUUAAACUAUGUUUGUGAUAUCAUGCAUACUAACUUUGAUCUAAUUAACUAAUUAAAAGUGGAUUUUCCGUUUGUAAAAGUAAUGGAAAUGUAUUAGUGGUACUUAUAAUGUUUGUUUUCAAUCUUACAAAGAAUCUUAUUUUAGUGCUAUUAAAAAUAUUCUUAAAUAUUUAAAAAGAAUAAUUAAACCACGUUUGUGGUAUCAUGCAUACUAACUUUGAUCUAAUUAACUAAUUAAAAAUGGGUUGUUCCAUUUGUAAAAGUAAUGGAAACGUAUUAGUGGUACUUCUAACUUUCUAGGCCACUCACUAGGUUUUGACAUAGUGAUCGAACCUUUGAUCAAUUGAGUUGUCGUGUGCGAUAUAUUUCAUAAUGACUAAUUGAUGCAUGGUGGUUUAGACUUAGUCUUAAUUGGUUGAGGACUUGUUGAUCAGAUGUUAAUCGAUUAAGGUUCUUGCACCUUAAUGAUUACCUCCAAGUGUACUUUUAUUUAAUAGCAUGUUUCUUAGUCCAUCGCCUAAUCCACUAAUUCAGCUAAAAAUGUGCCUAAGGGCUAGUUUCACUCUAGAACUCUUAUUUAAAACUUUCCAACCUUGAGCAAUCAUUGUAGCAAUUUAUUGAAUGGUUCUCUAGAAUACUCUUAUUCCCAAACUCGCAAGUCUCAUUUAGUCUACCUUAAUCUUAGUUUAUUUAUAUAUUUGAUCCUGAAUUUUGCAAACUAGAAAGCUUACUUUAAGAAAUUCACUCUUGUAUUCAUGAAAGAGUAUACUGAAAUGUAAGGGAUCACUUGAGGGCAUUGCAAAGGCAUAUUGGAAGCUUAAAUAUAAGUGUAAAAAAAUUAAAAGCAAAAUCUUAGCACUAGUGAAUGGACCUCAAGCUUAGAUUGAUGAAAGAGAGAGUGGAUAUAGGAGUUAUAGAACCAUUAUAAGUACUUUAUUGCAUCACUCUAUCCCUAUCUCUAUUAAUUUACUUGCACUAUAUUAAUUUUUAUAAUUUGCUUUUUAAUUUUCUAAAUUUUGCAAAAGAACUAACACCGAAUUCUCCUCCCCUCUUGGGUGUCUUCCUCAAGUGAACUCAACUAAUUUGCUUUUCAAUUUUCUAAAAUCAUGAAUCAAUGUAUCAUAAAGCAAAUCCACUAAUUUAAAAAGAAUUAAUACACGGUUUUACCUUAACCAUAUGUUAUCUUCCCCUAAUAAUCUUACACCAAUCAACACAUCCAUUUGUUUUCACGUUUGCAAUGCAAUAUAUGCUCCUUAGUAAACUCCUUAGCAAUUUGAGAUAAUACAAUCAACCAUCAUAAUUUAUCCUUUAAUUAAAGUUAAGUUUUCAGGAAUAUUGGAAACACACAUGAGAAUAACGACAAUUAUUUUCGAGAGCAUGUUGUUUUUUCAAUAUAAGGAGAAAAUCUUACUAAGUCUAUCCAAAUACAUUAAUUGAAAAAAAUAUAGAAUUAGAAAAUCAUGAAAAAAAAAAAACAAAUGGGUCCAAGGUAAACCGAUGUACUCCAUUUUGUCAUGAAUAUUCACUAAAAAUUACUCAACCGUACACAAGCUUGACACACAACAUUUCCCCACUACGUAAUAGCCAUUAAAUCAAAUGAAAAAUAAAAUCUCCAACGUUAAAUUAAGUUGACACCGUGUGCAUCCCUGGUUUCAUAAUGCAGAGUGAGAUGAAACAGAAUCGAUGCACAAGUACUGGGAAAUAAAAUUACCCAUCACGAGUCUAGAAAAUGGGUUCUGAUAUUUUCACAUAAGACAAUGUUGGAGGAUUCUAGGAAAAGAAAGAGAAUGCGGGAAAGGGAAAAUUCUUCACAUGCCUACAGCAUUUACGGCAUAAAGAACGUUUUCUUUCUCAAAGCAUGUGAUCUUUUUCCUGAGAACCAAACAGAUGGCAAAAGCAAGUUCCUGCUUGUCCAAAAAAACCCUGUACUCAUUGGACUAACAAAGCCUGAAUUAAAUAUGGGCCAUUUCGUACCUUCACCAUGGCCCAUUUCUUGUGAUGUUCUUUUGAAUAAAUUUAAGAAAUUACUGUUAGAAAUCAAAUAGAUUGAAUAAAUAUUUUAAUUUAUAAAAAAAUCAUCUUAAAUAAAUAACAAAUAAUAAAUAGGAGAAGGAAAAGAGAAAGUACGUAUAUUUGCAAUGUUACAUUACCUCACCUUAUCGUUUUCCAAAACUUAUAGUAAGCAAGAAUUGGAUUUACUUCUGCCUUCUAUUCUUCAUCAAUACAAUAUGAACGGUAGAGAAGUCCCUUGUUCUAAAGGAGCCGGGCAAGUCGAUUGAAACAAGCGAAUCGAGGUGGCCUGCAACUACCCUAAACAACACUGCAUAAGAAGCCAACAAACUAGUAUAUAACGCCCACCAUACCCUCUUCAUUUUCAGUACCACCUCACCAUCCUCCAUUCAUAUCGCCCAUUUUCACCCACCUCUUUCUCUCUCUCUCUCUCUCUCUCACUCUCUCAGUUUCUCAGUCUUUCAAUGGCGCUCAAGCUCCAUGGAAUUCCCAUGUCCACUUGCACCACUCGUGUCCUCACCUGUCUCCAUGAGAAAGGCUUGGAUUUUGAGCUUGUCCCUGUUAAUCUCUUUGCAGGUGAACAUAAGCAGCCUCCUUUUCUUGCCAAGAAUGUGAGUCUCACUUUCUUCUUUCUUUCUAAUCAUCUCUCUUUCUUCUCUCUGUAGAUUUUGCUUUCUUUGGGGUUGUAUAAAUUAUGAUUUUCCUUGGUUUGGGUACAUUGUUUUUAAUGUACAGUCUCGUCGAUUUGAUUUUGGUCUUGGUUUUGUUAUACAUAUAUGCAGCCC